rnacentral:rRNA from 1 species
AGUCGACUGGAAUUCACCUUCGGGUGAUAGUACGGUGGCGGACGGGUGAGUAACGCGUAAAGAACUUGCCCUCUAGACUGGGACAACUGUUGGAAACGACAGCUACGGAUAUUAUGAGAUUCUCGCAUGGGAAACUUAUGAAAGGCUAUAUGCGCUAGAGGAGAGCUUUGCGUGCCAUUAGGUAGUUGGUAGGGUAAUGGCCUACCAAGCCGACGAUGGCUAGCCGGCCUGAGAGGGUGAUCGGCCACAAGGGGACUGAGACACGGCCCUUACUCCUACGGGAGGCAGCAGUGGGGAAUAUUGGACAUGGACCAAAGUCUGAUCCAGCAAUUCUGUGUGCACGAUGAAGUUUCGGAUCGUAAAGUGCUUUCAGUGGGAAGAAAAAAAUGAC